rnacentral:rRNA from 1 species
UACGUAGGGUGCGAGCGUUGUCCGGAAUUACUGGGCGUAAAGAGCUCGUAGGUGGUUUGUCGCGUUGUUCGUGAAAACUCACAGCUCAACUGUGGGCGUGCGGGCGAUACGGGCAGACUGGAGUACUGCAGGGGAGACUGGAAUUCCCGGUGUAGUGGUGAAAUGCGUAGAUAUCGGGAGGAACACCGAUGGCGAAGGCAGCUUGCUGGGACGGUACUGACGCUGAGACGCGAAAGCGUGGGGAGCAAACAGG